AACGUAGUCAACCUGCCCGGAGACGUGGACAAACCCGGGAAACUGGGGCCUAUCCGCGAUAGAUGACCUCAUCUGGAAGGAGUGGUCGUCCAAAGGGCGGCACGGGUAUGCUCUGUGCCUUUCGCUCCAGGAUGGGACUGCGGCCGAUCAGGCUGUUGGCGGGGUAAUGGCCCACCAAACCUGUAACCGGUACGGGCUUUGAGAGAAGGAGCCCGGAGAUGGACACUGAGACAAGGGUCCAGGCCCUACGGGGCGCAUCAGGCGCGAAAACUUCGCAAUGCGCGAAAGCGUGACGAGGCUAGUCCGAGUGCUUCCUGCUAAAGGGAGCUUUUCUCGGCUGUAAAUAGGCCGGGGAAUAAGGGGAGGGCAAGUCUGGUGUCAGCCGCCGCGGUAAUACCAGCUCCUCGAGUGGUCGGGACGAUUAUUGGGCCUAAAGCACCCGUAGCCUGUUCUGUAAGUCCUCUGUUAAAUCCAGUCGCUCAACGGCUGGCCCGCAGAGGAUACUGCAAGACUAGGAGGCGGGAGAGGCGGACGGUACUCCGCGUGUAGGGGUAAAAUCCUCUGAUCCGCGGAAGACCACCAGUGGCGAAGGCGGUCCGCCAGAACGCGCUCGACGGUGAGGGGUGAAAGCUGGGGGAGCGAACCGGAUUAGAUACCCGGGUAGUCCCAGCCGUAAACGAUGCGAGCUAGAUGAUUCGUUCGCAGUUCGCGAACGAAGUGUCGCAGGGAAGCCGUUAAGCUCGCCGCCUGGGGAGUACGGUCGCAAGGCUAAUGUAAGUGA
rnacentral:rRNA from 1 species